rnacentral:rRNA from 1 species
GUGCCAGCAGCCGCGGUAAUUCCAGCUCCAAUAGCGUAUAUUAAAGUUGUUGUGGUUAAAAAGCUCGUAGUUGAACCUUGGGCCUGGCUGGCCGGUCCGCCUCACCGCGUGCACUGGUCCGGCCGGGCCUUUCCCUCUGUGGAACCCCAUACCCUUCACUGGACGUGGCGGGGAAACAGGACAUUUACUUUGAAAAAAUUAGAGUGCUCCAGGCAGGCCUAUGCUCGAAUACAUUAGCAUGGAAUAAUAAAAUAGGACGCGCGGUUCUAUUUUGUUGGUUUAUAGGACCGCCGUAAUGAUUAAUAGGGACAGUCGGGGGCAUCAGUAUUCAACUGUCAGAGGUGAAAUUCUUGGAUCAGUUGAAGACUAACUACUGCGAAAGCAUUUGCCAAGGAUGUUUUCAUUAAUCAGGAACGAAAGUUAGGGGAUCGAAGACGAUCAGAUACCGUCGUAGUCUUAACCAUAAACUAUGCCGACUAGGGAUCGGACGGUGUUAUUCAUGACCCGUUCGGCACCUUACGAGAAAUCAAAGUGCUUGGGCUCCAGGGGGAGUAUGGUCGCAAGGCUGAAACUUAAAGAAAUUGACGGAAGGGCACCACCAGGGGUGGGAGCCUGCGGCUUAAUUUGACUCAACACGUGGAAACUCACCAGGGUCCAGACACAAUAGGGAUUGACAGAUUGAGAGCUCUUUCUUGAUUUUGUGGGUGGUGGUGCAUGGGCCGUUCUUAGUUGGUGGGGUGACUUGUUCUGCUUAAUUGCCGAUAAUCGAAACGAGGACCUUAACCCUGCUAAGUG